rnacentral:rRNA from 1 species
GUGGGGAAUAUUGCACAAUGGGGGAAACCCUGAUGCAGCAACGCCGCGUGAGUGAUGACGGCCUUCGGGUUGUAAAGCUCUGUCUUCAGGGACGAUAAUGACGGUACCUGAGGAGGAAGCCACGGCUAACUACGUGCCAGCAGCCGCGGUAAUACGUAGGUGGCGAGCGUUGUCCGGAUUUACUGGGCGUAAAGGGAGCGUAGGCGGAUUUUUAAGUGAGAUGUGAAAUACUCGGGCUUAACCUGAGUGCUGCAUUUCAAACUGGAAGUCUAGAGUGCAGGAGAGGAGAAGGGAAUUCCUAGUGUAGCGGUGAAAUGCGUAGAGAUUAGGAAGAACACCAGUGGCGAAGGCGCUUCUCUGGACUGUAACUGACGCUGAGGCUCGAAAGCGUGGGGAGCAAACAGGAUUAGAAACCCUAGUAGUCCC